AUGACUGGCCUCUGUUUGGUGGUGCAGGAGGAGAAACUGAAGCGGCCGCUCUCACACAUGCAGGCAUGGGAGAUCGCCCAUACGCGGAAGGACCCCAAGCCUGGCGAGCCCAAGUACUACGGCAAGAAGACCGCGCAUAGGAAGAAGGCCUACUCCGAUGGGUAUCUGGUGUUACAUCCUGACACACCUGACCCCAUUGCGGCGGAUCUGGACGAAAGGGUGGUGGUGGGCAUGGGGCCGAAGGAGCACGGUCGGGAGGCGGUUCUCGAUGCUGUGAUCACUCCUACUAUCUCCUACACACAGCUCCGUCGGAUCAACCCGACCCUGAGCCAGCGCACGAGCACGCGCAUGAGCAGUGCACCGUCACUGUCCCUCUUUCAGGAGCAGCAAACUGUAAGUAUUUUCCCUUUUAUCUUCAUUGCUCCCUUUAUUUUCCGCAUUUAG
rnacentral:rRNA from 1 species